UGCCCCAACAAGGAAGGACAAG
rnacentral:miRNA from 1 species